rnacentral:rRNA from 1 species
GCGAACAGCUCAGUAACACGUGGCCAAACUACCCUGUGGACACGGAUUCUCGGGAAACUGAGGUCAAUCCGCGAUAGGGCUUCCAUCCUGGAGUGGAGGAAGUUCGAAACGUUGCGCUGCGGCGCCACAGGAUGUGGCUGCGGCCGAUUAGGUAGACGGUGGGGUAACGGCCCACCGUGCCAGUAAUCGGUACGGGUGAUGAGAGUCAGAGCCCGGAGACGGUAUCUGAGACAAGAUACCGGGCCCUACGGGGCGCAGCAGGCGCGCAACCUUUACACUGCACGCGAGUGCGAUAGGGGGACUCCGAGUGCGAGGGCAUAUAGUCCUCGCUUUUCUGGACCGUAAGGAGGUCCAAGAAUAAGGGCUGGGCAAGACCGGUGCCAGCCGCCGCGGUAAUACCGGCAGCCCGAGUGAUGGCCGCGAUUAUUGGGCCUAAAGCGUUCGUAGCCUGCCGGACAAGUCCGUUGGGAAAUCCACGCGCUCAACGCGUGGGCGUCCAGCGGAAACUGUCCGGCUUGGGGCCGGAAGACUCGAGGGGUACGUCCAGGGUAGGAGUGAAAUCCCGUAAUCCUGGACGGACCGCCGGUAGCGAAAGCGCCUCGAGAGGACGGACCCGACGGUGAGGAACGAAAGCUAGGGUCUCGAACCGGAUUAGAUACCCGGGUAGUCCUAGCCGUAAACGAUGUUCGCUAGAUGUGGCACAGGCUACGUGCCUGUGCUGUGUCGUAGGGAAGCCGAGAAGCGAACCGCCUGGGAAGUACGUCCGCAAGGAUGAAACUUAA